rnacentral:rRNA from 1 species
AGGGGGAAAAAUUAAUAAUUAAUUAUUUAAUAAAAUAAAUUUUAAAAUAAAAAUAUUUAGGGGGGUUUAAGUAUUUUUAAUAGAAAAAAUUUAUAAAUUUAAAGUAAAGAAGUAUUGUGAAAGAAAUUUGAAAUAAAAAUGAAAAUAUAAUUUUAGAUAAAGUAAUUUUAAUUUAAUGUAUCUUGUGUAUCAGAGUUUAUUAAUAAAAUUUUUUAAGAAAAAAUUUCUCGAAUUAAAAAGAGUUAAUUAAUUAAUAAAAUUAUUGUUGUAUAAAUAUUUUUAAUAAUUAAUUUGAAAUGAAAAGUUAUUCGUUUUUUAAUAUAUCUAGUUUUUUUAGAAAAAAAUUUAAUUUUAAAUUAUUUUAUUAAAUAAUUAAUUAUUUAAUUAUUUAAAAAUUUAAUUAAAUAUUUUAAGGGAUAAGCUUUAAAUUAAAAUUUUAUAAAUAAAAAAAAAAUAAUUAAAAAUUUUAUGAUUUAUAUUGUUAAAAAAUUUUAGUUUAUUAUAAAUAAUUUUAUUAAAAGAAAAAUUUAAUUUAUUUUAAUUUUUUAUAAAAAUAUAAUUUUUAAUUUUAAAAAUUUAGUAAUAAUGAUAAAAUUAGUAUAUUAUUUUUAUUAUAGGAUGUAAAUUUAAAUAUAAUUAAGUAAAAAGAAUUCGGCAAAAUUUAUAUUCACCUGUUUAUCAAAAACAUGUCUUUUUGAAAAUUAUUUAAAGUCUAAUCUGCCCACUGAUAAUAUAUUAAAGGGCUGCAGUAUAUUGACUGUACAAAGGUAGCAUAAUCAAUAGUCUCUUAAUUAGUGACUUGUAUGAAUGAUUGGAUGAAAUAUAAACUGUUUCUUAUUUAAUAAUUGAAUUUAAUUUUUUAGUAAAAAAGCUAAAAUAAAUUUAAAAGACGAGAAGACCCUAUAGAGUUUUAUAAAAUUUAUAAUUUUUUAUUAUUAUUAGUUUUAUAGUAAAAUUAAUAAAUUUUAUUUUAUUGGGGUGAUAAAAAAAUUAAUUAAACUUUUUUAAAAUAUAAACAUAGAUAAAUGAAUUAAAUGAUCCAUAAUUUUUGAUUAAAAGAAAAAAUUACCUUAGGGAUAACAGCGUAAUUUUUUUUUUUAGUUCAAAUAAGAAAAAAAGUUUGCGACCUCGAUGUUGGAUUAAGAUAAAAUUUAAAUGCAAAAGUUUAAAAUUUUGAUCUGUUCGAUCAUUAAAAUCUUACAUGAUCUGAGUUCAAACCGGUGUGAGCCAGGUUGGUUUCUAUCUUUAAAAAAUUAAAAUAUUUUAGUACGAAAGGAUCAAAUAUUUAAAAUAAUUUUAAUAAAAGAAUAUCAUUAAUUAUUAUUUUAAAAUUAAAAAAAAAUUUUUUUUU